rnacentral:lncRNA from 10 species
GCAGAAGUAACAUUCCUUUGAACACUCAGCUUUCUGAAAUGGUGUCCCACCGCAAGGACUGGAGAAGGUCUUCUGCCAGCCUAACAAGCAUAGCAAGAAGAUAUAGCCCCACAACCACUUUAUGCACAAAGUUAGAAGCAUAAAAUCUCAUGGAAGGAGACCGAUUAUCUACAGAAGAGGUUGUCUUGCCAUUUCUCUCAUGUUAGAGGUAAACCUCAGGUUCUCCUCCUGCCUUUUGCUAAGUAUAUGUCUUGAUGACAAGCCUUCUGCUGAUGAGCUGUGUUUCUGGACCGAUCAUGGUAGAAGUCAAUUAACGUGUCCCUCACUUGGGGUUUCUCAAGGUCAUCUAUGAACUGACUCUGUCUCAAAAAAAAAAAGAAAAAAAAGAAAAGAAAGAAUGAAAAAAAAAACUAGGACAUGGCUAACAGGAAUGGGGACAAAGAAUCUGCACUGAUGAGGAAACUGAAACAGAAAAUCCAGAGUAAAUUCCACCAGGCCACACAGCAAGGUCUGAUAGAGCCAGGAGAGACUUUAUGAAAUCCAGACUCUCACACUAAUGCUCUAUCAGCUAGACCUCCAUGUGAGUCUCCCCAAUGUAGGUAGGAAGUGCUUUCCC